CGGUAGACCCAGGCGAAGACGCGCGGGUGGCGCCCGUCCGCCGUGCAGUAGGUGAUGCGCGGCAGCAGAUUGUUCAUUGUUAAUGCAUGGAAAUCCAACUGACAGCUGGGUACGGAGGCUGAAGCAGAAGAAUUUCCUGAGCCUAGGAUGCUGAAUUAAUGUAUUAGUACUAGAAAAUUGGAGCAAUUGGAAGAGAACCUCCCCAGACUCAUCAGCGCCCACCUGCAUCUGUGCUCAGGCACGGCCUUUCCUCCAUCCUGUGGAUAAACAUCUGAAUGCCGGCCUGAAGGCAGCGCCUCCCCUGCCGCCUGGGCCCAUCCCUGCUCAUCGCCUCCAGGGAGGCCAGUCCAGAAAGCCCUUGCAUUUUCCUCUGUGUUAUCAAUUACCCCC
rnacentral:lncRNA from 10 species